GGGCACGUAGCUCAGCGGGAGAGCACCGUCUUCACACGGCGGGGGUCGCUGGUUCAAUCCCAGCCGUGCCCACCA
rnacentral:tRNA from 1 species